AUUGUUUUAUAGUAUCGAACAAAUUGUAUUUACGAAGAAAAAUUAAUCAAUUCUUUCACUUUGAACAGUUAUGAAUAAUUACAGUUUUCUUAUUAAGUCGGAUACCACAACUUUUCGCCGUAAAAAAUAAGCUUGUUAUGAAAAUUUGCAAGAAGCCUCGGAUCUGGACGGAUUCCUUGGACAAACGACCUAAGCAAAAGAAAAUGGGCAUGAGAUUUUGUAUAAAGAGUGACGAAGCCCAUGCAGAGAAUACGGCUGCUAGCAUUAACAUCAAUGCGUACCCCAAGAUUCUCCUGACAAGAAAAAAUGCAAUCGGUGCAAAGAUUGACGCGACCCCCAUCAAGAGCACGGCUGCUACCACGAAGAGCCCUCCAUAAGUCCAGCGUCUCCUGUGUCAAGAAAAGAUGCAAUCAUUAAGGGCUAAUAGAACUGCUGUCUUGGUCCAUAAGCUGCUUAACAAGACCAAAGAUCCCGGACUAAAGGAAGAGCUGCAGUUGUUCUCGCUACAGCUGCUACAUCGGAAAGUCCACUUCACAGCUUUCGGAUUCUUUCCUCUAGAUUUCACUCUUCUUUACUCGAUCACCGGGGCAGUGACAACGUACUUGGUGAUCUUAAUACAGUUUCAGCUCUCCUUCGCAAACCCAAAACAGAAUGCCACAGUCUCAUCUACUCUGCCUGCCACCAUGAGUUCAGAUUUCUUCACACCAACUUUGUCGCCCUAGUUUAAUCAGGUUGCUUUGCCCACAGCACAAUAAGCAAUGUAACUAACUGGAUAAGUAUGUCCCGUAACACAGUGUUUGUUUGUGCGAGCGUGGUCUAAGGCAUUAGGGUCAGAGGCUUCUUCCGGCAAGUCAGGUCCACUUAAUCUAUUUUUGUUGUUCCUUUUCUUUAUUGCGACAUGUAAAAAUGUAAUUUUGCUUGUAGUUUUGUAUGGGUGUUAAACCUGGUUUCUGAUAUUAAGGGAGGAACACAGACCAGGGUACUGAGGAGAAUAAUUCAACUUUAGAGGAAUGAAAUCAUAGGAGGUUGCAGAAAACUGCAUGAUGAGGAGAUCCCCAACUUCUAUUCUUCGCUAAAAAUAAUUAGAGUGAAGCCAAUGAGGAUGAGAUGGGUCAGAAUGUAGCAUGCAUGGAAGGGUAGAGGACUGGAUACAGGGUUUUGAAAGGAAAUCAAAAAGAAGAGACCACGCAAAACCUAGAUGUAGGUGGGAGGGUAAAGAGAUAAUGGAUCUUAGAGGAAUAGGAUUGAGUACUAUGGACUGGCUUCAACUGGCUCAGAGCAGGAAGGGCUACUGUUAACAUGGUAAUAAAUCUUUGGUUACAUAAACUGUUGAGAAAUUCUUGUGUAGAUGAGCAGCCCAUGGCUUCUCAAGGCAGAAACAGCUCCAUGGAGUAAGUUAGUUGAGUUUACUCUCUACUUUCUUCAGUCCUGAUGUUACACUUUUGUAUGUAUGAGUUCCCUUCUCUGCAGUCUAGAAACUCAUUGUAAUGGAAAAUUGUACAUAAUAAUGUCAUUUCUCUGCUAAAGCACUGAAUAAUUUAUGUGGUUCCUCUGAUUUGUCGUGUAACGUGUUCUGUGUUCCUGAUGCAGGCAAUAAGACGCUACAUAAUGCCUACACUUAUUCUGAGAGAACUCUUGUUUAAUGAAGCAUAUGCUUGUGUUCAUAUUCCUUCAGUGCUUGCAGUCUUGAGGUACAGCAUAUGCCACAACAGAGCAUUCACCACUCGAAGACGCCUUUUCUCUAUGUUCAGUGUGCAUGGCAAUCUAAUAUAUUUGUACAAUUGUAACCUCACCAGAUUUUGCACAUAAUAAGUCUGCUGGUGAUUGCUGUCUUUGUUGUAUUUAAUUUUAUUACUUAUUUUUUUCCAAUUUUUAAUGAACUAUUUCCUUUAGUUAGUUUUAUUACCAUUAAUGCUAUUUUGUCGACCAAAUUAAUCAUCAAUUGCACCAUUAUCUGAAAAAUAUUCAAAUAGUAACCCCAGAAGCUCUAUUACUCACAGAUCUUUAUUAUAAAAGCUGUCAGGAGAAUGAAUGCAGUGUUAAUAUGGCAGCUAUGUUAUUUCCAGUUCUUCACUAAAAGGGUCUUUAUCACAUCUGGUUGUAUUUCGAUGAUACAACAUUGCAUACACAAUUCAGGAACUCACAUUAAAUGGCACAACUGUCACUUGCAUGCUGGGAGUUGGCACAGCCUCCAUACUUCAAUUAUUUAUGUUAAGUAAUUAAAAAUUAGGCAGGUAUUAAGCACCAUGUUUACGCAAAACUUCAUAAAGUUUAUUAAGGUUGAGAAAAUGUAGAGAAUUAUGUGUGUGCAUGUGCACACACAUGAAUAUAGCUCUGGUUUUGCUACAGACCAGACCUAUAUAUCAUUAUACAGUAAUUGUAUACUUUAAGAAUGGAACUGUAUACAUUUACAGAUGUGUAAUGAAGUUGGUCAGUAGAUCAUUCCAGUUUAGGAUUAGAGAAUGAUGUCCCAACAGAUACAAUCUUGAGUUAAAUUUCAUUAUGUUUGAAGAGCUCAUUAUCACUGUUAAUGUGCUCCAAUAUAUUUAUGAAAGUGGAUGUUGUUAUAAUGACAAAUGUAUGAUUAGAAAGUAUGUAACAUUUGUGAAACAGAAGAAAUUGUUGUUAACUUUUCUAUGUUCAAGAUGACCUGUAAAAUUAAAUUAAAUACUCAUUCUCUCAUUAUUCCCACUUACCUGACAGCAUAGGUCAUAGUAAAAUUAAAAAGAAAAUAGGUUAUACUAUUAAUACUCUUACAUGUCAAACAAUUGAAAGGAAGACAAAAUCUUCACAUGGUUGCUAUGUUAUUGUUUCACAGCCUGCAAGUGAUUAGAUAAAAUCUGUGUAUAGUCUGAAGAUUUAUUAGCAUUCAUAUCUUCAGGUUUAAAUGCUGUUAAUGUCAUCCUCACCUCACAAGCUGGUGAGCCUCCCAUGUGGUUAUUAUUUACUGUCACAAACUAAGAAGGUUAAUGUUACAGUGUGGGCAGCCAUAUGCAACAAACAUAAGCAGCAUGGUGGUGUUACAGCUCAAUUCAUUCACUUAAGACUUUUCAUCAUACGGCCCCAUUGUGAAAGGUAUCUCAUGUAACAUUCUUCAGUUCUUAGAACCAUUAUGUAAUAAAGAGUUCACGAAAUAAGUAAAGUUGUCCCUGUGCUUAACUAAUUAAGCACUAUGGCAUAAGGCAUACAUGGGU